AAUGUCCUCUUCCAGACCUGACUCUACAAUGCAUUCUACAUUCUUCUUCUCUCUGAUAUUUUAUCUCUUAAUGGCAGGUGGUCAACUGGAUGACAAGGUCAUGCAACAUCCAAGUUACCUGGUGUCAAGGACAGGACAGUCAGUGAUCUUGGGAUGUGACCCCAUCUUGGGACACAACGAGGCUUUUUGGUGCCGUCAGAUACUGGGUCAAGGCCUUGAGAUGCUCUUUUACUUCUAUGAUAAGGAAGAGAGGGGUACGGGAGAAAUCCCUAAUCGAUUCAAAGCUGAACAGGACAACAAUUUGUACUUCACCCUGAACAUCAGUUCCUUGGAGCAGGGGGAUUCUGCUCUCUAUCUCUGUGCCAGCAGCAAAGACACAGUGUCACAGAGGUACCUCCUAUCUGUUCAGAAACCUGUUUGGCCCAAGCCCAGGGAACAAUGA